ACUAUUUUGGCAGAUAAGUGUUAUGGAUUUAGAAUCCAUUUAUGUAAGAAUUUCUUACAAAUAGUA
rnacentral:tRNA from 1 species